CCACAGCUGAAGCCUUACCUUCUCCACGAACUCUCCUAUAGAUCCUUCUGACCCCUGGUGAUCCUUUUCUUCUCCAAAUUCAUACUGCAUUUUUUCACUGCAUCACACUCUGCAGCACUGUGCUGUAAUAACCUUUACUGAGCACUUGUUAUAUGAUACAUACUUUUUUCUGUACUUUAUAUACAUUACUUAAUUCAACUCUCACAAUAACUCUAUGCAUCAGGUACUAUCGUUAUGCCAGUUCAAUAAACCAGAUUAAAAUACUCGCUCAAGCCAUACAGCCAGUAAAUGCUAGCACCUACCCAGGCUUCUGAACUUAGAGACCUUCUUUUUCACCAUUCUACUUGAUCAUGUUACACAAUCUCCCAUAUAAAUAAUGUCUAUCUUCAGUUUCAGCCAAAUGUACUUUACUCAAAUAUCAUCUACAGUGCUCAGGUCUAUUCUAUGGGAGGCACUCAAUAAAUAUAUCUCAGUGAAUUCAGAAGCUAUAGUUGGAACUCAAAGGUCCUUAUCAGCAUCUCUGCAGUCCUACACUAGCUCACCUAGCUGAAAGAGGCCAAGUUUUUAAAAUCUGUGAGACUUUUGUAUUUCCAUUUUGAAAUCCAUUAGAGUGCUCCAAAAAAUGAGUUAUGUUAUGCAAUUAAGAUUGUCAUUUUCAGGAUCUAAGAAAGAAAAACUGAGCCAGCAAAACCUUCCACACAACAACAUGAUUAGAAAAAGUAAUUCCUUUCUGGUGUAGAGUGAGUUACCAUGUAACUAGAAAUACUUCACCUUAAUUUAUGAUGUGUGGAUAAACAGAGAGAGAAGAAAAAAAAGAGGCACCAUUUAUUAAGCUUCUCUCUAUCUUAUUGCACAGAUUUAACUGGUGUUUUAAACUAUUAAAGCUGUGUCUUACAGCAAUUUAAACAAAUCAAUCACAAGAAACUAAGAUAUCUGUGUUCCUUUCUUUGUCCUUGUGUAGGAGUUCUUAGAACUUGAUGGUGUCAACAAACAGACUCCGGGGUGUUCAAAAACAUUAUGAAAUUCUUUGUAAGAUUUUUUGUCUGUUGUUAUAUUGAAGUGAGAGUUUUCAUAGCUUCCAUCAUUUCCUCAAAGGUCAAUAGUCUCAAAGUUAGAGACCAAUAAGAUCCAUCAGUAUACUUAUGAUUAUAAUUCAUCAUAAGUAACUGAAAAAUUAUUUACUUUGCAUGAUCAAAUAGAAUAACUAAUAUUAAACUUACAUGAAAAUUUUCAGUUUUUAAUGUCAGGAAAGUGAAAACAAACAAAAUUGUUUGUACUUUAGAAAAGCACUUCUGAGGAUCAUUUUAUACUCUCAAAAAUGAUUCAGGACCCCUAAAGUGCUUUGAUAUUUGUG
rnacentral:lncRNA from 10 species